AGAGUUUGAUCCUGGCUCAGAGCGAACGCUGGCGGCAGGCCUAACACAUGCAAGUCGAGGGGCCGUAGCAAUACGGCACCGGCAGACGGGAGAGUAACACGUGGGAACGUGCCCUUCAGUUCGGAACAACCCAGGGAAACUUGGGCUAAUACCGGAUACGCCCUUACGGGGAAAGAUUUAUCGCUGAAGGAGCGGCCCGCGUCUGAUUAGCUUGUUGGUGAGGUAAUGGCUCACCAAGGCGACGAUCAGUAGCUGGUCUGAGAGGAUGAUCAGCCUCACUGGGACUGAGACACGGCCCAGACUCCUACGGGAGGCAGC
rnacentral:rRNA from 2 species